CCUACGUGUGGCAGCAGUGGGGAAUAUUGGGCAAUGGGCGCAAGCCUGACCCAGCAACGCCGCGUGAAGGAAGAAGGCUUUCGGGUUGUAAACUUCUUUUCCCAGGGACGAAGAAAGUGACGGUACCUGAGGAAUAAGCCACGGCUAACUACGUGCCAGCAGCCGCGGUAAUACGUAGGGGGCAAGCGUUAUCCGGAUUUACUGGGUGUAAAGGGAGCGUAGGCGGUGAUGCAAGUCAGAAGUGAAAGCCCGCAGCUCAACUGCGGGACUGCUUUUGAAACUGUAUGACUAGAUUGCAGGAGAGGUAAGUGGAAUUCCUAGUGUCGCGGUGAAAUGCGUAUAUAUUAGGCGGAACACCAGUGGCGAAGGCGGCUUACUGGACUGUAAAUGACGCUGAGGCUCGAAAGCGUGGGGAGCAAACAGGAUUAGAUACCCUUGUAGUC
rnacentral:rRNA from 1 species